rnacentral:rRNA from 1 species
GAUAAACGCUAGCGGGAGGCUUAACACAUGCAAGUCGAGGGGUAAGUGUAGCAAUACACCAAGACCGGCGGACGGGUGCGUAACGCGUAUGCAACCUGCCUUAUACAGGGGGAUAGCCCGUGGAAACGCGGAUUAACACCCCAUAGUACAUUGAAGCUGCAUGGCAUUAAUGGGAAAACUGAGGUGGUAUAAGAUGGGCAUGCGUCUGAUUAGUGAGUUGGUAGGGUAACGGCCUACCAAGGCGACGACCAGUGGGGAGCUGAGAGGAUAAGCCACCACAAUGGUACUGAGGCACGGACCAGACUCCUACGGGAGGCAGCAGUGAGGAAUAUUAGUCGAGGGGCGAGAGCCUGAACCAGCCAUUCCGCGUGAAGGAAGAAGGCCUUACGGGUUGUAAACUUCUUUUCUGUAAGAAGAAUAGCCCCGAUGUAUCGGGGUAUGACGGUAUUAUAGGAAUAAGCAUCGGCUAACUCCGUGCCAGCAGCCGCAGUAAGAC